GUGCUAUUAAGAACAUCUCACAUACUUUGUUGAAUGAUUCAAGAUGACCACAAGUUCUUUGGAUCUGUCGUUGCUGGGAACAGCGAUCCUGCGAAGUGGCACUGGUUGCCUACCAGCUAGCCUCUGUCCGAGCAGGCCACUUCACCGUUACUUGAAGCUGCUGCCGGCUAAAAGAAGCUGAGCAAGCUCCGUGCGCAUAUGCCCACUGAUGUAACCUGGAGGUAAAUUAUCUCGCUGAUGUGUUAGAUUUACUUCUUUGCAUACUUCAGUGCUCCAAGAUACUGAAUGCUAAACCGCUCUGCUGUAAAUUUUGU